GUGCUUACCUGGCAGGGGAGACACCGUGAUGAAGCAGGUGGUUUUCCCAGGGUGAGGCUCAUCCAUUGCACUUGAGUUGCUUCAGAUCAGAUCGAGGUGAAAUGAGAGGAAGUCACACAUUCACUCUUCAGAAAUUUUGGUUUGGAAUAUUUGAUGUUUG
ensembl:snRNA U1 U1 spliceosomal RNA